GAAUGUGAGAGCAAUUGGCUGCAACACCUGGUAUCCCAUUGAUUACCAGAGUAGAUUCAGCUAAUAAGAUUGGCUAAGCAGGUAUUGCUUUCCUCCCUCACCACUCCAUGUGCAUCCUUCCCAAAGCUGUGCACUUACUUUGUCAAAGAAGACAAACUUCUCCAACAGAGGAGGACCAUUCUUUGGUCAAGGGUAUACGAGUAGCUGCAUUCCUCUGCUAGAACCUCCAAACAAGCUCUCAAAGCCCAUUUGUAGGAGAAGGUAGGGCGGUCAAGCUUCUAAGAUUCCAGACAGAUCCAAAUGAACACUGCAUGUGGCAGUCUACCUUUCUUU
ensembl:misc_RNA 7SK 7SK RNA